AAAUUACCUCACGCCAGUGGGGUAGAGUAGCUGGAAUGGGGGCCAGCUGCUCACUUUAAAAAAAGCGACC
rnacentral:ncRNA from 1 species